rnacentral:rRNA from 1 species
UACAGAGGUCUCAAGCGUUGUUCGGAUUCAUUGGGCGUAAAGGGCGUGUAGGUGGCGCCGUAAGUCGGGUGUGAAAUCUCGGGGCUUAACUCCGAAACUGCAUUCGAUACUGCGGUGCUUGAGGACUGGAGAGGAGACUGGAAUUCAUGGUGUAGCAGUGAAAUGCGUAGAGAUCAUGAGGAAGACCAGUGGCGAAGGCGGGUCUCUGGACAGUUCCUGACACUGAGACACGAAGGCCAGGGGAGCAAACGGG